rnacentral:rRNA from 1 species
UACGAAGGGGGCUAGCGUUGCUCGGAAUCACUGGGCGUAAAGCGCACGUAGGCGGAUAUUUAAGUCAGGGGUGAAAUCCCAGAGCUCAACUGCGGAACUGCCUUUGAUACUGGGUAUCUUGAGUAUGGAAGAGGUGAGUGGAAUUCCGAGUGUAGAGGUGAAAUUCGUAGAUAUUCGGAGGAACACCAGUGGCGAAGGCGGCUCACUGGUCCAUUACUGACGCUGAGGUGCGAAAGCGUGGGGAGCAAACAGG